rnacentral:lncRNA from 1 species
GUCGGAAUCGCAGAAGGUGAGGCCAAAAUAGUCCUUCUCCAGGAGGUUGAGGUGCUCACAUACCAUGUCAAAGAGAACCUGGCCUCGGGCAUGCUUCUCCACUUCACACUCAUACUCAGAGGCAUCGAGAAGGGUCACUCUGCAGAGAGCACUUUUGACUUUCUUGUUGAUUUUCUGGGGUGAUUUCUGGGUCUUGCUAGGCGUUGUUUUGUCAGAGAGCCCAUCUGUCUCACUGUAGUCCUUCUCCUCCAUGUCUGUACCUGGCUCCGUAUUCCGGCUGUCAGGCUGUGCUCCAGGCUUCUCGUUGGCCUCAGCGUCCCGGCUGGCAGUGCCAGCAGCUGUGGCAGUGGGGCCGUGUGUGGCUGCCUCCAGCUGCUGCUGCGGGGCCUCCUCCUGCACGUUCUUCACUUCCGAAUCAGGGCCCGUCUCUGUCGUCAUGGCUGCUGGUCACCCUGCCCUGGCAGCUGCUUCCAGGGGCUGAUCUCAGCACUCUGUUCAGGCACAGUUCAGAAUCUGGGCCCGCUCCGCCGCCGACCUCAUCCGGGGCGCGGCCCCGCGCCGCAGCGACCACCGCCAGCCGCCAGCCCGCCGUGCGGCG